ACUCCUACGGGAGGCAGCAGUGGGGAAUUUUGGACAAUGGGCGAAAGCCUGAUCCAGCCAUGCCGCGUGCAGGAUGAAGGCCUUCGGGUUGUAAACUGCUUUUGUACGGAACGAAACGGCCUUUUCUAAUAAAGAGGGCUAAUGACGGUACCGUAAGAAUAAGCACCGGCUAACUACGUGCCAGCAGCCGCGGUAAUACGUAGGGUGCAAGCGUUAAUCGGAAUUACUGGGCGUAAAGCGUGCGCAGGCGGUUAUGUAAGACAGUUGUGAAAUCCCCGGGCUCAACCUGGGAACUGCAUCUGUGACUGCAUAGCUAGAGUACGGUAGAGGGGGAUGGAAUUCCGCGUGUAGCAGUGAAAUGCGUAGAUAUGCGGAGGAACACCGAUGGCGAAGGCAAUCCCCUGGACCUGUACUGACGCUCAUGCACGAAAGCGUGGGGAGCAAACAGGAUUAGAAACCCGGGUAGUCCCAUGA
rnacentral:rRNA from 1 species